AGUGAACGCUGGCGGUAGGCCUAACACAUGCAAGUCGAACGGCAGCACAGGAGAGCUUGCUCUCUGGGUGGCGAGUGGCGGACGGGUGAGGAAUACAUCGGAAUCUGCCCAGUCGUGGGGGAUAACGUAGGGAAACUUACGCUAAUACCGCAUACGACCUUCGGGUGAAAGAGGGGGAUCGCAAGACCUCUCGCGAUUGGAUGAGCCGAUGUCGGAUUCGCUAGUUGGCGGGGUAAUGGCCCACCAAGGCGACGAUCCGUAGCUGGUCUGAGAGGAUGAUCAGCCACACUGGAACUGAGACACGGUCCAGACGCCUACGGGAGGCAGCAGUGGGGAAUAUUGGACAAUGGGCGCAAGCCUGAUCCAGCCAUACCGCGUGGGUGAAGAAGGCCUUCGGGUUGUAAAGCCCUUUUGUUGGGAAAGAAAUCGUUCAGGCUAAUACCCUGGGAGGAUGACGGUACCCAAAGAAUAAGCACCGGCUAACUUCGUG
rnacentral:rRNA from 1 species